rnacentral:rRNA from 1 species
UACGGAGGGGGCUAGCGUUGUUCGGAAUUACUGGGCGUAAAGCGCACGUAGGCGGCUUUGCAAGUUAGAGGUGAAAGCCCGGGGCUCAACUCCGGAAUUGCCUUUAAAACUGCAUCGCUAGAAUUGUGGAGAGGUAAGUGGAAUUCCGAGUGUAGAGGUGAAAUUCGUAGAUAUCGAGAGGAACACCGGUGGCGAAGGCGGCCUUCUGGACCAGUGACUGACGCUGAGACGCGAAAGCGUGGGAGCAACAG